rnacentral:rRNA from 1 species
UUUUUUUUAAAACAUCUCUGGGAGGAAGAUGUUUUUAGUAUAACCUGCUCAAUGCGUAAGUAAAUAGCUGCAGUAUUAUGACUGUACAAAGGUAGCAUAAUCAUUAGUCUUUUAAUUGAAGGCUUGUAUGAAUGGUUGAACAGAAUAUUAACUUUCUUAAGCUUAGGAUAUUUGAAUUUUAUUUUUAUGUAAAAAUACAUAAUUAAAUAAAAGGGACGAUAAGACCCUAUAGAAUUUAAAAUUUUUCUUGGAAAGUGAAUUUUUAGUUGGGGUGACUAGGAAGUUAACUUUUCUUUUUAAAAUUACUUGUAGGUAAUUGCUUGAUCCUAAUUUUUUUAGAAAAAAGAUAUAAUUACCUUAGGGAUAACAGCGUAAUCUUUUUUUUAAGAUCAUAUUUAUAAAAAUGAUUACGACCUCGAUGUUGAAUUAAAGUUAUUUUUUGGUGGAGAGACUAAAAUUUAGAGUCUGUUCGACUUAAUUUUUUACAUGAUCUGAGUCCAGACCGGA